AACGAACGCUGGCGGCAGGCCUAACACAUGCGAGUCGAGCGAGGACUUCGGUUCUAGCGGCGGACGGGUGAGUAACGCGUGGGAAUGUGCCCUUCUCUACGGAAUAGCCUUGGGAAACUGGGAGUAAUACCGUAUACGCCCUAUUGGGGAAAGAUUUAUCGGAGAAGGAUCAGCCCGCGUUGGAUUAGGUAGUUGGUAGGGUAAUGGCCUACCAAGCCGACGAUCCAUAGCUGGUUUGAGAGAAUGAUCAGCCACACUGGGACUGUGACACGGCCCAGACUCCUACGGGAGGCAGCAGUGGGGAAUCUUAGACAAUGGGGGCAACCCUGAUCUAGCCAUGCCGCGUGAGUGAUGAAGGCCUUAGGGUUGUAAAGCUCUUUCAGCUGGGAAGAUAAUGACGGUACCAGCAGAAGAAGCCCCGGCUAACUCCGUG
rnacentral:rRNA from 1 species